AGUGAACGCUGGCGGUAGGCCUAACACAUGCAAGUCGAACGGCAGCACAGUAAGAGCUUGCUCUUACGGGUGGCGAGUGGCGGACGGGUGAGGAAUACAUCGGAAUCUACUUUUUCGUGGGGGAUAACGUAGGGAAACUUACGCUAAUACCGCAUACGACCUACGGGUGAAAGCAGGGGAUUUUCGGACCUUGCGCGAUUGAAUGAGCCGAUGUCGGAUUAGCUAGUUGGCGGGGUAAAGGCCCACCAAGGCGACGAUCCGUAGCUGGUCUGAGAGGAUGAUCAGCCACACUGGAAUUGAGACACGGUCCAGACUCCUACGGGAGGCAGCAGUGGGGAAUAUUGGACAAAGGGCGCAAGCCUGAUCCAGCCAUACCGCGUGGGUGAAGAAGGCCUUCGGGUUGUAAAGCCCUUUUGUUGGGAAAGAAAAGCAGCAGGUUAAUACCCCGCUGUUCUGACGGUACCCAAAGAAUAAGCACCGGCUAACUUCGUG
rnacentral:rRNA from 1 species